rnacentral:lncRNA from 1 species
UGGGUCUUCGAGGAAGAACUUAAGCUCGGCCGCUCUGACGGCGGAGUUGAACCUCACCACCGGAGCUCUGGUCAUGCCGUCCUUGAGAAUGACGCAGUGGGCACCGCCGGAGGCGUAAAUGGCCUUGCAGCCUCGGUUGGUGCUGGCGACAAGGCAGCCUUCAGUGGUCGCCAUUGGGACAGUGAGCUCCUCGCCGUUGAGCAGCAGCGGUCCGGCGACUCCCACCGGAAUCUGCACGUACCCAAUCGGCAUCUCGCAGCACUGUCCGAGUAUGGAGUCGUAAUCGAAGCCUUCCAAAGGCAGUCCCUCCAGCGAACGACGCGUCGUCCGCUGCAGUGCCUCUCGCCGUAUGCCGGUGGCUCUCCGGCAGUCCCCGAGAUUCGACUCCAGAGUGUACGACGGAGUCGCUCCGGACACUACGGAGUUAAUAAUCUCCUCGUCCUCCUGCUCCGGCAUGGCCGGAACAGAAAGAUGAGAAAUAUUAAUAGGCAUUACUAACCGCGACCCCGACCCCUUGACGACGUCGUUUUGUCGACGUGUCGGCCUAACGACUUCGUUCCAGGGGUCGUGGGGAGCGCGGGGGUGGACGAAGGACUGGACGAAGUCAAUGCCGAAGAAGCCGAGGAGGUAGAUGACGGAGGCGAAGAGGGAGAAGAGGGCGACGAUCUCGGAGAGCGUGACGACGUGGAGAGGAGUGGAGGAGCGGAUCUUCUCGCGCCAACGGUGGAGGAGGAAGUAAGCGACGGUGAAGAAGAGCGUGAAGAACAAGCCGUUCGUCAAGUACAACG